rnacentral:rRNA from 1 species
ACGUAAUAGAUACCCGGGUAGUCCUGGCUGUAAACGAUGACCACUAGAUGCACGCGGGCUCGACCCUGGGUGUGUCGCAGUUAACGCUUUAAGUGGUCCGCCUGGGGAGUACGGUCGCAAGACUAAAACUCAAAGGAAUUGACGGGGACCCGCACAAGCAGCGGAGCGUGUGGUUUAAAUUCGAAGCAACGCGAAGCACCUUACCAGGGCUUGACAUGCUCCUGCACCAGCGGUAAUGCGCUGUCCUCUUCGGAGGCGGGAGCACAGGUGCUGCAUGGCUGUCGUCAGCUCGUGUCGUGAGAUGUUGGG